rnacentral:lncRNA from 1 species
CCAAGGCAGAGGGUGGAGGGGCAGGGAGGACAAUCUAGAGCAAGUGACAUCUCAAGUGGCCUGAACGAUGGCAGGAGCCAGCUAAAUCAAGGGACACUAAAAGGAGAAAGUGUCACACCUUCAAGAAACUAAAAACCACUCAAUGAAAGGGAAGGAUGAGCUGUGUGAGGUCGGAGCGGCAAGGCAAGCAGAGGCUGGAUCCAACUGGCUUGACUCUGGACCUUAAGACACAGGCCUCAGCACCUGCUGUUCCUGUGCCACUGUGCAAAUAGGAAGCCUUCCAGGGCACCAGGCUGCCAAUGUCCUGAUGCAAAAGAUGGAACUGGGAUAAAGUAGAGAUGGGGUUUCACCAUGCUGGCCAGACUGGUCUCAAACUCCUGACCUCGUGAUCUGCCUGCCUCGCCCUCCCAAAGUGCUGGGAUUACAGCUGUGAGCCACUGCGCCCGGCCUUAACAAUCAUUUUUAAAGGGACUUUGAAAUAAUACUUGGCCCUACUUAUAAACUUAAAGGCCUUAAAACAUUUGAACUGUAUUUAUAAAUUUAAUAUAGCUCUUAUUUUUUGGCAAAUAUCUUUAUCCACUGAUUUAGAAGACAAAACUUC